ensembl:snoRNA
UUGGCCCUGAAUUAAGGCCAGCAGCUUCCUGACGCUGUUGGUUUCAAGCAGGAGCCUAAAGAGAUGUCUUUCUAUGAUCUGUUAGCCAUUCUUGAAGCAACUCCC